rnacentral:rRNA from 1 species
UGGCGAACGGGUGAGUAACACGUAGGUAACUUACCUCCAGGUCUGGGAUAACCCUUCUAACGGGGGGCUAAUACUGGAUGAUACAGUCGGUCCGCAUGGGCUGGUUGUUAAAGCUGUCCUGAGUUGUCAGGGUAGCGGCUGGAGAGAGACUUGCGUCCCAUUAGCUAGUUGGUGAGGUAGUGGCUCACCAAGGCGACGAUGGGUAGCCGGCCUGAGAGGGUGUGCGGCCACACUGGGACUGAGAUACGGCCCAGACUCCUACGGGAGGCAGCAGUGAGGAAUAUUGCGCAAUGGCCGAAAGGCUGACGCAGCAACGCCGCGUGGGCGAUGAAGCUCCAUGGAGCGUAAAGCCCUGUCAGGAGGGAAGAAACGUAGUUGAGUGAAUAAUUCAACUAUUUGACGGUACCUCCAGAGGAAGCCCCGGCUAACUCCGUGCCAGCAGCCGCGGUAAUACGGGGGGGGCGAGCGUUGUCCGGAAUCACUGGGCGUAAAGGGCGUGUAGGCGGGAUGGUAAGUCAAGGGUAAAAACCUAUAGCUUAACUGUAGGCCGGCCUUUGAUACUGCUAUUCUUGAGUGCGGAAGAGGGAAGUGGAAUUCCUGGUGUAGCGGUGAAAUGCGUAGAUAUCAGGAAGAACACCGGUAGCGUAGGCGAUUUCCUGGUCCGUAACUGACGCUGAGGCGCGAAAGCGUGGGGAGCAAACAGGAUUAGAUACCCUGGUAGUCCACGCUGUAAACGAUGGGCACUAGGUGUUGGUCCGGAAGGAUCAGUGCCGAAGCUAACGCAUUAAGUGCCCCGCCUGGGGAGUACGAUCGCAAGGUUGAAACUCAAAGGAAUUGACGGGGGCCCGCACAAGCGGUGGAGCAUGUGGUUCAAUUCGAUGCAACGCGAAGAACCUUACCUGGGCUUGAAGUGUAGUCGAAACCCCGAGAAAUCGGGGCCUCCUUCGGGACGGCUACAGAGGUGCUGCAUGGCUGUCGUCAGCUCGUGCCGUGAGGUGUCGGGUUAAGUCCCGCAACGAGCGCAACCCUUGCCCUUAGUUGCCAUCAGGUUAUGCUGGGAACUCUAAGGGGACUGCCCCGGAUAACGGGGAGGAAGGUGGGGAUGACGUCAAGUCCUCAUGGCUCUUACGUCCAGGGCUACACACGUGCUACAAUGGCCAGUACAAUGGGAAGCAAUACCGCGAGGUGGAGCAAAUCCCCAAAAACUGGUCUCAGUUCGGAUUGGAGUCCGCAACUCGACUCCAUGAAGUCGGAACCGCUAGUAAUUGCGGAUCAGCGUGCCGCAGUGAAUACGUUCCCGGGCCUUGUACACACCGCCCGUCACGCCAUGGAAGCCGGUAGCACCCGAAGUCGCUGGGCUAACCCCGGGUAACUGGGGAGGCAGGUGCCG